GGCUGGUCCGAUGGCAGUGGUAUUUAUAAUUAAUUGAUCACAGUCAGUUACAGAUUUCUUUGUUGUUUCUCCACUCCCACUGCUGCACUAGACUAGUCUUUU
ensembl:Y_RNA Y_RNA Y RNA